ACCAAAGCUAGCCCAACUACCCCACCCCACUAUAAGUAAAACAAAGCAUUUAACCAUCAACUUAAAGUAUAGGAGAUAGAAAUCUGAGACUAUUAGGCGCAAUAGAGAUAGUACCGUAAGGGAAUGAUGAAAGAAGCAACAAAAGUAUCAAAAAGCAAAGAUCACACCUUGUACCUUUCGCAUAAUGAUUUAACUAGCAAAACCUUAGCAAAGAGAACUUAAGCUAAGCCACCCGAAACCAGACGAGCUACUUAUGGACAGUUUACCAGAACAAACUCAUCUAUGUGGCAAAAUAGUGAAAAGAUUCAUAAGUAGAGGUGAAAAGCCUAACGAGCCUGGUGAUAGCUGGUUGUCCAGAAAAAGAAUCUCAGUUCAAUUUUAAAAUUACCAAAAGCCCAAAUCAAGCCUAAUGUAAUUUUAAAAUUUAGUCUAAAAAGGUACAGCUUUUUAGACAAAGGAUACAACCUUGACUAGUGAGUAAAUUCAAACAACACCAUAGUUGGCCUAAAAGCAGCCAUCAAUUAAGAUAGCGUUCAAGCUCAACAAUAAGCACAACCUAAUCCCCAUAACAAGCAAACAACUCCUAGCCUAACUACUGGACUAUUCUAUUCAAACAUAGAAGCAAUACUGUUAAUAUGAGUAACAAGAAACAAUUCUCCCAGCACAAGCCUAUGUCAGUAGCUGAUAAUAUACUGACAGUUAACAACAAGUAAAUAUAACCUAACACUAAAACAUUUACCCCAUACACUGUUAACCCAACACAGGCGUGCACCCAAGGAAAGAUUAAAAAAAGCAAAAGGAACUCGGCAAACACAAACCCCGCCUGUUUACCAAAAACAUCACCUCUAGCAUCACUAGUAUUAGAGGCACUGCCUGCCCAGUGACAAUCUGUUAAACGGCCGCGGUAUCCUGACCGUGCAAAGGUAGCAUAAUCAUUUGUUCCUUAAAUAGGGACUUGUAUGAAUGGCCACACGAGGGUUUUACUGUCUCUUGCUUUCAAUCAGUGAAAUUGACCUUCCCGUGAAGAGGCGGGAAUAAUGCAAUAAGACGAGAAGACCCUGUGGAGCUUCAAUUAACUGACUCAAUAAAAACAAAAUAGACCCGCAAGGCACAAUAAAAUCCUAUGUGAGUCAGUAAUUUUGGUUGGGGUGACCUCGGAGAAAAAAAAAUCCUCCGAGUGAUAAAAUCUAGACUCACCAGUCAAAAUAUAACAUCACUCAUUGACCCAAAAUCUUUGAUCAACGGAACAAGUUACCCCAGGGAUAACAGCGCAAUCCUAUUCUAGAGUCCAUAUCGACAAUAGGGUUUACGACCUCGAUGUUGGAUCAGGACAUCCCAAUGGUGCAGCCGCUAUUAAAGGUUCGUUUGUUCAACGAUUAAAGUCCUACGUGAUCUGAGUUCAGACCGGAGCAAUCCAGGUCAGUUUCUAUCUAUUAUACAUUUCUCCCAGUACGAAAGGACAAGAGAAAUGAGGCCUACUUCUAAUAAGCGCCUUAAAACUAAUUAAUGACAUAAUCUUAACUUAAUUAAAUAGUAUAAACAUAUCAGCCCUAGACCAGGGCACA
rnacentral:rRNA from 1 species